AUCACGGAGCUGAAUCUGCCGCAGCUAGAAAUGCUCAAGAACCAGCUGGACCAGGAAGUGGAGUUCUUGUCCACGUCCAUUGCUCAGCUCAAAGUGGUACAGACCAAGUAUGUGGAAGCCAAGGACUGUCUGAACGUGCUGAACAAGAGCAACGAGGGCUGGAGCGCAAUGGUGAGAUCUUGGCUUACUGCAACCUCCGCCUCCCGAGUUCAAGAGAUUCUUCUGCCUCAGUCUCCCGAGUAGCUGGGACUUUAGAUGUAUGUCCCUGGGAAGCUGCAUGAUGUGGAACACGUGCUCAUCGAUGUGGGAACUGGGUACUAUGUAGAGAAGACAGCUGAGGAUGCCAAGGACUUCUUCAAGAGGAAGAUAGAUUUUCUAACCAAGCAGAUGGAGAAAAUCCAACCAGCUCUUCAGGAGAAGCACGCCAUGAAACAGGCCGUCAUGGAAAUGAUGAGUCAGAAGAUUCAGCAGCUCACAGCCCUGGGGGCAGCUCAGGCUACUGCUAAGGCCUGAGAGUUUUUGCAGAAAUGGGGCAGAGGGACACCCUUUGGGCGUGGCUUCCUGGUGAUGGGAAGGGUCUUGUGUUUUAAUGCCAAUAAAUGUGCCAGCUGGGCAGAAUGUUGGUCUUUUCUUGGAUUAAGCAAGGGACUGGUGAUGAGAUGGGGGGUGUGGUCGAGAGUGUGGGCCCCGUCUCAGAGCCUGAUGCGCAGGGGUGAUGCGAUGCGCCUCUUGGAGGCUCCAUCGCAGGGCCCUUUGACCAGCUGGAAGAAAUCCUAGGCUGGGAGUCUGCUGCUGCUCACUCUGCAGAGCUGGUUGCCAAGGGAACGGUUGGCAAGCGGAAGUGGGGCUGCGCUGGCGCUUCCUCUUCCGGGUCGGCGCUCCUGCCUCCCUGCAGGGAGCUGCUUAUGGGACACCAAUUCCUGCGCGGCCUCUUAACGCUGCUGCUGCCGCCGCCACCCCUGUAUACCCGGCACCGCAUGCUCGGUCCAGAGUCCGUCCCGCCCCCAAAACGAUCCCGCAGCAAACUCAUGGCACCGCCCCGAAUCGGGACGCACAAUGGCACCUUCCACUGCGACGAGGCACUGGCAUGCGCACUGCUUCGCCUCCUGCCGGAGUACCGGGAUGCAGAGAUUGUGCGGACCCGGGAUCCCGAAAAACUCGCUUCCUGUGACAUCGUGGUGGACGUGGGGGGCGAGUACGACCCUCGGAGACACCGAUAUGACCAUCACCAGAGGUCUUUCACAGAGACCAUGAGCUCCCUGUCCCCUGGGAAGCCGUGGCAGACCAAGCUGAGCAGUGCGGGACUCAUCUAUCUGCACUUCGGGCACAAGCUGCUGGCCCAGUUGCUGGGCACUAGUGAAGAGGACAGCAUGAUGUAUGAGAACUUUGUGGAGGAGGUGGAUGCUGUGGACAAUGGGAUCUCCCAGUGGGCAGAGGGGGAGCCUCGAUAUGCACUGACCACUACCCUGAGUGCACGAGUUGCUCGACUUAAUCCUACCUGGAACCACCCCGACCAAGACACUGAGGGUUCAAGCGUGCAAUGGAUCUGGUUCAAGAGGAGUUUCUGCAGAGAUUAGAUUUCUACCAACACAGCUGGCUGCCAGCCCGGGCCUUGGUGGAAGAGGCCCUUGCCCAGCGAUUCCAGGUGGACCCAAGUGGAGAGAUUGUGGAACUGGCGAAAGGUGCAUGUCCCUGGAAGGAGCAUCUCUACCACCUGGAAUCUGGGCUGUCCCCUCCAGUGGCCAUCUUCUUUGUUAUCUACACUGACCAGGCUGGACAGUGGCGAAUACAGUGUGUGCCCAAGGAGCCCCACUCAUUCCAAAGCCGGCUGCCCCUGCCAGAGCCAUGGCGGGGUCUUCGGGACGAGGCCCUGGACCAGGUCAGUGGGAUCCCUGGCUGCAUCUUCGUCCAUGCAAGCGGCUUCACUGGCGGUCACCACACCCGAGAGGGUGCCUUGAGCAUGGCCCGUGCCACCUUGGCCCAG
ensembl:lncRNA novel protein, readthrough PFDN5-C12orf10